AUUGAACGCUGGCGGCAGGCCUAACACAUGCAAGUCGGACGGUAGCACAGAGAGCUUGCUCUCGGGUGACGAGUGGCGGACGGGUGAGUAAUGUCUGGGGAUCUGCCCGAUAGAGGGGGAUAACCACUGGAAACGGUGGCUAAUACCGCAUAACGUCACAAGACCAAAGAGGGGGACCUUCGGGCCUCUCACUAUCGGAUGAACCCAGAUGGGAUUAGCUAGUAGGCGGGGUAACGGCCCACCUAGGCGACGAUCCCUAGCUGGUCUGAGAGGAUGACCAGCCACACUGGAACUGAGACACGGUCCAGACUCCUACGGGAGGCAGCAGUGGGGAAUAUUGCACAAUGGGCGCAAGCCUGAUGCAGCCAUGCCGCGUGUAUGAAGAAGGCCUUCGGGUUGUAAAGUACUUUCGGCGGGGAGGAAGGCGAUGUGGUUAAUAACCGCGUCGAUUGACGUUACCCGCAGAAGAAGCACCGGCUAACUCCGUGCCAGCAGCCGCCGUAA
rnacentral:rRNA from 1 species